GACGAACGCUGGCGGCGUGCUUAACACAUGCAAGUCGAACGGAAAGGCCCUGCUUUUGUGGGGUGCUCGAGUGGCGAACGGGUGAGUAACACGUGAGUAACCUGCCCUUGACUUUGGGAUAACUUCAGGAAACUGGGGCUAAUACCGGAUAGGAGCUCCUGCUGCAUGGUGGGGGUUGGAAAGUUUCGGCGGUUGGGGAUGGACUCGCGGCUUAUCAGCUUGUUGGUGGGGUAGUGGCUUACCAAGGCUUUGACGGGUAGCCGGCCUGAGAGGGUGACCGGCCACAUUGGGACUGAGAUACGGCCCAGACUCCUACGGGAGGCAGCAGUGGGGAAUAUUGCACAAUGGGCGGAAGCCUGAUGCAGCAACGCCGCGUGCGGGAUGGCGGCCUUCGGGUUGUAAACCGCUUUCGCCUGUGACGAAGCGUGAGUGACGGUAAUGGGUAAAGAAGCACCGGCCAACUACGUG
rnacentral:rRNA from 1 species